ensembl:lncRNA LINC00867 long intergenic non-protein coding RNA 867
ACAUCAACAUUAACGUAAAUAUCCUAUUUACUUUUAUGAAAUGAAUGUGUUCCUUUUCUCAAAAAAGGUACAGAAAGGACAACUGAAUUACAGGCCUGAGAGCGAAUCCAGAAAAACUACUUAUUUAGCAAGAUUUUGCAUGUAUUCAACUGUUUUAAUUAAAGAGAGUGUUCGUUUACUUGAGGCCUGGAAAACAUUUUCCCAGACCCAAGAUCCUGCAUGGAAAGACAAUAAACCAAGUUAACAGUUCAAGGCUCAUUUUAAGUCGAUUCCGCUGUGAGAAUACUUACAGGGUCCAAGAUUGCAAGAGGAUGGGUCUAGAAAGGUACACCGUUCCUGCUUGGCUGCACAACCCGGAAUUCUGCAGGCUUUCUGGCGGCAAUGCCACACUCCAAUCCCAAAAGAGAGAGAAGCCCCUCCCGGGCACAGAACUAAGCGCUGCACAUUCCGGCGAAGGAUGUCUAGCCUGCUGGCAGUCCCAUUAACUGGAGCUGUUUUCCGGAAUACAGCAACUGUAAACGUAACUUCUAUAAAGAUGGAGGUUGCUUCUGGCUCAUCAGCCAUCGUUGAUGUGCCACAGACCUGAGGGCACGUGACCCAGGAAUGUGCAUCCAAAGAUAAUACUACCUUCAGAGAACUCUACUUAUAGGCUGUGGUUUUUCAAGAAAAAGGAAAAGAUUCAUAAUUCAUUGAGCUCUUUCCUUGUGAGAAGAAAGGCCACUCUUUUGUGUGCUGAAGUUGGACAACAGUUCCCAAGGAAGCUGAAUUCUAGCUGUUUAUUGUUAUUGGGUUUUGCACUAUGCCCUUUAUGUUGUCAUUAAUCAAUAAAUACGUGUGGAACAAAUGAUUAACUAGAUGAAUGAUCUCCAGGUUUUCUGAUAAUGCCAUGAGUAAAAUCAGUAGAAUCAAACAUCUACUUAGAAUACCAUUUUAUAUAGUUUUGCUUUCUGCUUUAGCACUUCUAACCUCUAGAGAAUGUUCUGUAACUCCCACCACGAUUUAAAAAUAAGCCAUAUGUGUAUGUAAUCAAAAUAUACAACACACGUUAUUUUUACAGUCUGCAUAAUAAUAUAUCAAUACUAGACAUGUAUUGCUA